GCACCAGUGGUGUAGUGGUAUCAUGCAAGAUUCCCAUUCUUGCGACCCGGGUUCGAUUCCCGGCUGGUGCA
rfam:Picoides pubescens contig57291, whole genome shotgun sequence.